GGAAGGAUCAUUAACACGUUAUCCAACGUAUCUACCUAUUGCGCAUUUGUUUUCAAUCUCUCCCGUGUUCCUACACUAAUCGGUCUAAGUGUGUCCUUCUGGCUAUUGAAUGGGGUUCGUAAAUGCGAAAAAGCGAUCCGGUCAGACGCACUAUCUGCGUAGAGCUAACGAUAUAUGUAGGCCGCGGCUAUCGCUGCGUAUACUGUAAAUCUCCAUUCUGGAUUAUGAGUAUAUGUCGGCAACUAUCAUAUCACAUAUAUAACCAUUUUCACCCACUUUUUUGCUAGUUGACUUUUUUCAUUUGUUGCGCUCUUUCUUCAUUGAAAGGUUCAGCACGUUUGAUCUAAUUGAACGUUAAAAUAUACAACUCUUAGCAAUGGAUAUCUUGGUUCUCGCAACGAUGAAGAACGCAGCGAAAUGCGAUACGUAAUGCGAAUUGCAGAAUUCAGUGAAUCAUCAAAUCUUUGAACGCAAAUGGCGCUCUUGGGUAGCCCUAGGAGCACACCUCUCUCAGUAUCGGUUCAACAACCGCUCAGCAGCGUGCUGGAAAAACGAAACCCAAACAAAAAUGAGCCAUUCAGUUUUGUUCGUUCUUUCAGUUGCGCGUGGCUGGACAAUGAGAGUCUAAGUCGCUUUGUCGCUUAGUCUCUUUAAAUACAUGGAGUCUUCAUACGAUUCUCGGUCAGUGAUGAAAUGUCCUUAUUUCAUCUAGGCGGUGUCGGACUGUUGCUCAUAAUCCAGUGACGUGAAUACUGGCCUCCGGGUCUCUCAUUUACGUGUAACUGAUUGUGAGUGAAAUUGUAAAGGUCUGGGAUAGCUGAAGCGAUCGAUCUAUAGAAUGAAUGUUGACGCACUCAAUACACCAUACGAUUCGAACGAAUUUCAUUCAUUUUGAAUCUGAAUUUUGAUCUGAGAUGAGGUGAGACAACCCCCUGAAUUUAAGCAUAUUAAUAAGGGGAGGAAAAGAAACUAACAAGGAUUCCCUUAGUAACGGCGAGUGAAGCGGGAAGAGCUCAAUUUGAAAAUCGAUAACCCAAACGGGUCAUCGAAUUGUAGCCUAUAGACGUACUAUCAGCUGGAACCUGGGUAUAAGUUCUUUGGAAUGAGGCAUCAUAGAGGGUGAGAAUCCCGUAGAUGACCCAAAGCUUUCAGCGUACGAUGUAUGUUCAUCGAGUCGAGUUGUUUGGGAUUGCAGCUCUAAAUGGGUGGUAAGUUUCAUCUAAAGCUAAAUAAUGGCGAGAGACCGAUAGCGAACAAGUACCGUGAGGGAAAGAUGAAAAGAACUUUGAAAAGAGAGUUAAAAGUACUUGAAAUUGCUAAGAGGGAAGCGCUGAAAACCAGUGAGUCUGCUGUAUCAAACGCCUAUUGCUCCUGUAUAUGUUGUAUGUAGUUGGUAACUCUGCAUGCAAGGUAGGUAGGGCAGCAGUGGGUUUCCUGAUGCAGUGUCAGUCAAGAUCCAUUCGAGUGUGUGAGAGAAGGUAGAAAGAAAGGUAGGAGUUUCGGCUCUGUUAAGUCUUUUUACUCUAUCAUGCGUUGGAUGGAGGAAGGAAUGGUGCGCUGCUUGCGGCUUGGCUGUGCGUCUCUGCGCUCUCAUUCGUCGUUCCGAGCAAUGCUCUGGCGGCGGAGAAGGGGCGUACUGGGCGUGCAUGUCCUAUGUGCCAUCACGAUCUUGUACGAAAUGGUUUUCAUCGACCCGUCUUGAAACACGGACCAAGGAGUCUAACAUCUAUGCGAGUAUUUGGGUGCAAAACCCGAAUGCGGAAUGAAAGUAAAGGCAAAUUUAUUUUGCUGAGGUAGGAAUCCGUUUGAUGCGGAGGCACUAUCGACCGAUCAUCACUUGUGAAAGAUUUGAGUAAGAGCAUAUCUGUUGGGACCCGAAAGAUGGUGAUCUAUGCCUGAACAGGGUGAAGCCAGGGGAAACUCUGGUGGAGGCUCGUAGCGAUACUGACGUGCAAAUCGUUCGUCUGAUUUGGGUAUAGGGGCGAAAGACUAAUCGAACCAUCUAGUAGCUGGUUCCCUC
rnacentral:misc_RNA from 1 species